rnacentral:rRNA from 1 species
AUUGAACGCUGGCGGCAGGCCUAACACAUGCAAGUCGAGCGAGCGGCGGACGGGUGAGUAAUGUAUGGGGACUGCCCGAUAGAGGGGGAUAACUACUGGAAACGGUGGCUAAUACCGCAUACUAUCGGAUAACCCAUAUGGGAUGAGCUAGUGGGUGGGGUAAAGGCUCACCUAGGCGACGAUCUCUAGCGGGUCUGAGUGGUGGAUCGGCCACACUGGGACGGAGACACGGCCCAGACUCCAACGGGGGCAGCGGUGGGGAAUAUUGCACAAGGGGCGCAGGCCUGAUGCAGCCAUGCCGCGUGGAGGAAGAAGGCCUUAGGGUGGUAAGGUACUUUCAGCGGGGAGGCGUUACCCGCAGAGGAAGCACCGGCUAACUCCGUGCCAGCAGCCGCGGUAAUUC